ACGCUAUUGAAGGUUGAUGACUGUGAAGGUACGACAGACACCAGAGGUGAUCGGUCGUUGUAGAAAUCCAACUGCUGGAGCCCGUCUGUUAUAGAAUUUCAUCCGAAAUCCAUCUGCUAUGGAAGUUUAGACGGAGUCCGAUUCUUGUAGAAGGCUGAAAGGAGGCCACUUAUUGUAGAAGCUUGAUCGAAGAUCGAUUGUCGUGGAAGCUCGAAUGGAGAUUUCUUAUUGUAGAAGCUUGAAGU
rnacentral:lncRNA from 1 species